AUAUAUAUAGUUUUGCAGUGUUAAACAGACUCUACAGUGACUGUGUGGUCCCAUUUGAAAUGGUCUUAAAUCACCUCUAUUUUGUGCCAAGUAGUUGCUAGCAUGGUGUAAAUUGAACUCUCUUGGUGUUGAUCAAUUUAACACUGAGAGUUAAAUUAACUCUAUGUAGUGUCAAAUUGACUACCAUGCUGUAACUUUCACUCUUGGUGUUGAUCAGUUUGGUGUA